AGCAUGUGGCAGGGUCCCUGGUUCGUGGUGCUGCUUUUCAGCUGUAGAAGUGUGGCUCAGACUCUGACCCAGCUCCAAGCAUCGAUUACCGCACCUGUUGGGAAAGUCGUGCGAGUACGGUGUCAAGUGACAGGAGUCUCCGUCAGCAGCAAUGAUCCCCUUCACUGGUACCAACAGAAACCCGGAAAGCCGCUGCAAAGGAUACUCUACUAUGGAGAUAGCGUAACGAGGGAUUCGGAAUUCGGAAAAUCCUUCAACGCGGUAAAAAGAUCGGAUAUGGAUUCUAUCUCGCAAUCGAAGUUAACGCUGAAAGCGCUGCCACCUAUUACUGCGCCUACUGGGUUUACACAGUAUGUAAUAGAUAACAAGCUCAGCACAAAAACCUCUACAAGCAGCCAGUCAAACAGAACCGCCGAUCCGGACGCUGCAGCUUACCUAUAUCUGCCGGGCCGGAGUUGGGCUCUGCUCAAGAGGCAGGGAGAGAAGUUGACGCUCCUGAAGUGUCCGCAAUUCCAUUAG